UACGUAGGGUGCGAGCGUUAAUCGGAAUUACUGGGCGUAAAGCGCGCGCAGGCGGUUCUUCAAGUCAGUGGUGAAAGCCCGGAGCUCAACUCCGGAAAUGCCAUUGAAACUGUUGAACUUGAGGACGAGAGAGGUGAGUGGAAUUCCCAGUGUAGAGGUGAAAUUCGUAGAUAUUGGGAAGAACACCGGUGGCGAAGGCGGCUCACUGGCUCGUUUCUGACGCUCAGGCGCGAUAGCGUGGGGAUCAAACAGG
rnacentral:rRNA from 1 species